GAAAGAAUAAAAGAAAGAGUGAAAAGCUUGUGGAUGCAGAGAGGGAAAAAUAAAGAGUAGUGUGGUGAGAUCCCAGUAGCAGAGAGAGAAAGAGAGAGAGAAUAUUUGUAUUUGAGAGUAUAGUGUGUUUGUACCACUAAAGAAAUAAUAAUAAUAUAUUUCUUAGUGUCAAACACUCCCCCCAACUCAACAAAACUGACCUUAUGGUAGGAGUUUUCCCCCCCUCUGGCUAACCAAUGAUAACGUCUUAGCAUAACAUUGGCCGGCAUUGGGCCAACUCUUGGAUCGCAUAAUCUCUACCACCGAAGCACCUAUCUUCCAAUCCCUUGAAGACGAAGAACAGGAUUGUCCAUCUAUAAGAUACCCACUGAGAACAGUUGACAGCACCAUUGCAGGCAUCAGAAAUGCCAUUACGGACCCCUCACAUCUAGCUGGAUAGACCUGAGCGCCAUGGCAUAUAUACGAUGGCGAGAACCAGGGUGAUGGAGCGAGAGAUCGAGGCAGAAAUUACAGGAAAAGGAAGCAAAAGAAAAGGAUGACUAUAUAUGUCAUAUUUGGUACGUCAUAUUUCGACAAAAAGAACAUGCAACAAUCUGAUGAUGAACAACGAAAGAAUCAUUGAACUUUGACUAAUCACUCUACAGCCAGCAUAUAUCCUGCUUCCUUACUGAGAAAAUACCCAAGGAAGGAUUCUGGAUGGAAUUUCAGUGUCGAAGGAGCUGAUGUUGUCCUUGCAUAUAAUAGUUAGAGAAAGGUCUGUAACUCACACCCUGUAGUGAUAUUGAGUUUCUGUCGGUCGACCGCACGUGGCUCUGCGAUCGACUGCGAGUCGGGCUGGGCCAAACCCUGUAGUGAUCUUAUCAUUCCUUCUGGUUAGGAAGUCCAAUGCCUUUUUAUUGUGUUUGAUCAAAUCAUCUCAAAUUGUCUUUUUUCUUCUUAA